ensembl:lncRNA
GAGGAGUCUUGUCUUCCAGAUGCACCAGCAGUGCUCUCGUUUCGACAACCUCUUUUGAACUUGGAAAACAUUGUUCCCGGUAAUGUUUCAGUGCUGCCCGAUGCUCCAGAAGUUUAAUUGGUUCCAGAAAACCAGGAAAAUGUGGAGCCAUCUGUAGACUUCAGAGCUGAACGAGGUUUCUCCCCAGGACACACUCCACUUCACAGAGCCAAGCGUUUGAGUACGAGUGCAGAUCAGACCCUAGUGCUGCGCCGUCUUGGAGAGUUUGGCGAUGUUGUGCGUAGCAUGGAAAACUAUGCUGCAACAUUUCAGUGCCAAUGUGUCUGUUGGAGAGCUAUCCCUGCCAGGGGAUCUGUUACUCCCCCUAGACACCCAGGAAGAUUUGGUGUUUCUUGACAGCAUUUUGAGGCAGGAUAAAGGGCUCCAGGAACGAUUUGGGCCCUCCGGAAGAAUCCGGCAACCCAGGAUGACACUGAUGAGGCGG